rnacentral:tRNA from 1 species
GAGCGGGUGGCUGUUAACCACUAGGUUGCAGGUUCGAGUCCUGCCCGAGGAG